GAUGAACGCUAGCGGCAGGCUUAACACAUGCAAGUCGAGGGGUAUUGGUUUUCGGACCAAGAGACCGGCGCACGGGUGCGUAACGCGUAUGCAAUCUACCUUUUACAGAGGAAUAGCCCAGAGAAAUUUGGAUUAAUACCUCAUAGUAUGUGAGAAUGGCAUCAUUUUCACAUUAAAGUCACAACGGUAAAAGAUGAGCAUGCGUCCCAUUAGCUAGUUGGUAAGGUAACGGCUUACCAAGGCAACGAUGGGUAGGGGUCCUGAGAGGGAGAUCCCCCACACUGGUACUGAGACACGGACCAGACUCCUACGGGAGGCAGCAGUGAGGAAUAUUGGACAAUGGGCGCAAGCCUGAUCCAGCCAUGCCGCGUGCAGGAUGACGGUCCUAUGGAUUGUAAACUGCUUUUAUACGAGAAGAAACACUCCUUCGUGAAGGAGCUUGACGGUAUCGUAAGAAUAAGGAUCGGCUAACUCCGUGCCAGCAGCCGCGGUAAUACGGAGGAUCCAAGCGUUAUCCGGAAUCAUUGGGUUUAAAGGGUCCGUAGGCGGGUUUGUAAGUCAGUGGUGAAAUCUCCUCGCUCAACGGGGAAACGGCCAUUGAUACUGCAAGUCUUGAAUUAUUAGGAAGUAACUAGAAUAUGUAGUGUAGCGGUGAAAUGCUUAGAGAUUACAUGGAAUACCAAUUGCGAAGGCAGGUUACU
rnacentral:rRNA from 1 species